GGAGGACCGAACCGACUAAUGUUGAAAAAUUAGCGGAUGACUUGUGGCUGGGGGUGAAAGGCCAAUCAAACCGGGAGAUAGCUGGUUCUCCCCGAAAGCUAUUUAGGUAGCGCCUCGUGAAUUCAUCUCCGGGGGUAGAGCACUGUUUCGGCAAGGGGGUCAUCCCGACUUACCAACCCGAUGCAAACUGCGAAUACCGGAGAAUGUUAUCACGGGAGACACACGGCGGGUGCUAACGUCCGUCGUGAAGAGGGAAACAACCCAGACCGCCAGCUAAGGUCCCAAAGUCAUGGUUAAGUGGGAAACGAUGUGGGAAGGCCCAGACAGCCAGGAUGUUGGCUUAGAAGCAGCCAUCAUUUAAAGAAAGCGUAAUAGCUCACUGGUCGAGUCGGCCUGCGCGGAAGAUGUAACGGGGCUAAACCAUGCACCGAAGCUGCGGCAGCGACACUAUGUGUUGUUGGGUAGGGGAGCGUUCUGUAAGCCUGUGAAGGUGUACUGUGAGGUAUGCUGGAGGUAUCAGAAGUGCGAAUGCUGACAUAAGUAACGAUAAAGCGGGUGAAAAGCCCGCUCGCCGGAAGACCAAGGGUUCCUGUCCAACGUUAAUCGGGGCAGGGUGAGUCGACCCCUAAGGCGAGGCCGAAAGGCGUAGUCGAUGGGAAACAGGUUAAUAUUCCUGUACUUGGUGUUACUGCGAAGGGGGGACGGAGAAGGCUAUGUUGGCCGGGCGACGGUUGUCCCGGUUUAAGCGUGUAGGCUGGUUUUCCAGGCAAAUCCGGAAAAUCAAGGCUGAGGCGUGAUGACGAGGCACUACGGUGCUGAAGCGACAAAUGCCCUGCUUCCAGGAAAAGCCUCUAAGCAUCAGGUAACAUCAAAUCGUACCCCAAACCGACACAGGUGGUCAGGUAGAGAAUACCAAGGCGCUUGAGAGAACUCGGGUGAAGGAACUAGGCAAAAUGGUGCCGUAACUUCGGGAGAAGGCACGCUGAUAUGUAGGUGAAGCGACUUGCUCGUGGAGCUGAAAUCAGUCGAAGAUACCAGCUGGCUGCAACUGUUUAUUAAAAACACAGCACUGUGCAAACACGAAAGUGGACGUAUACGGUGUGACGCCUGCCCGGUGCCGGAAGGUUAAUUGAUGGGGUUAGCGGUAACGCGAAGCUCUUGAUCGAAGCCCCGGUAAACGGCGGCCGUAACUAUAACGGUCCUAAGGUAGCGAAAUUCCUUGUCGGGUAAGUUCCGACCUGCACGAAUGGCGUAAUGAUGGCCAGGCUGUCUCCACCCGAGACUCAGUGAAAUUGAACUCGCUGUGAAGAUGCAGUGUACCCGCGGCAAGACGGAAAGACCCCGUGAACCUUUACUAUAGCUUGACACUGAACAUUGAGCCUUGAUGUGUAGGAUAGGUGGGAGGCUUUGAAGUGUGGACGCCAGUCUGCAUGGAGCCGACCUUGAAAUACCACCCUUUAAUGUUUGAUGUUCUAACGUGGGCCCCUUACCGGGGUUGCGGACAGUGUCUGGUGGGUAGUUUGACUGGGGCGGUCUCCUCCUAAAGAGUAACGGAGGAGCACGAAGGUUGGCUAAUCCUGGUCGGACAUCAGGAGGUUAGUGCAAUGGCAUAAGCCAGCUUGACUGCGAGCGUGACGGCGCGAGCAGGUGCGAAAGCAGGUCAUAGUGAUCCGGUGGUUCUGAAUGGAAGGGCCAUCGCUCAACGGAUAAAAGGUACUCCGGGGAUAACAGGCUGAUACCGCCCAAGAGUUCAUAUCGACGGCGGUGUUUGGCACCUCGAUGUCGGCUCAUCACAUCCUGGGGCUGAAGUAGGUCCCAAGGGUAUGGCUGUUCGCCAUUUAAAGUGGUACGCGAGCUGGGUUUAGAACGUCGUGAGACAGUUCGGUCCCUAUCUGCCGUGGGCGCUGGAGAACUGAGGGGGGCUGCUCCUAGUACGAGAGGACCGGAGUGGACGCAUCACUGGUGUUCGGGUUGUCAUGCCAAUGGCACUGCCCGGUAGCUAAAUGCGGAAGAGAUAAGUGCUGAAAGCAUCUAAGCACGAAACUUGCCCCGAGAUGAGUUCUCCCUGACUCCUUGAGAGUCCUGAAGGAACGUUGAAGACGACGACGUUGAUAGGCCGGGUGUGUAAGCGCAGCGAUGCGUUGAGCUAACCGGUACUAAUGAACCGUGAGGCUUAACCUUACAACGCCGAAG
rnacentral:rRNA from 1 species